rnacentral:rRNA from 1 species
AACGCGAAAGGGGCUUCGGCCCUGAGUAAAGUGGCGCACGGGUGAGUAACACGUGGAUAAUCUGCCCUUAUGAUCGGGAUAACAGUCGGAAACGGCUGCUAAUACCGGAUACGCUCAAAAUGAACUUUUUGGGGAAAGGUGACCUCUGCUUGCAAGUUACCGCAUGAGGAUGAGUCCGCGUCCCAUUAGCUUGUUGGUGAGGUAACGGCCCACCAAGCCGACGAUCGGUAGCCGACCUGAGAGGGUGAUCGGCCACAUUGGGACUGAGACACGGCCCAAACUCC